rnacentral:rRNA from 1 species
UACGUAGGGGGCAAGCGUUGUCCGGAAUCAUUGGGCGUAAAGAGCGUGUAGGCGGCCAGAAAAGUCCGCUGUGAAAACUCGAGGCUCAACUUCGAGCUGUCGGUGGAAACUUUCUGGCUAGAGUCCGGAAGAGGAGAAUGGAAUUCCUGGUGUAGCGGUGAAAUGCGCAGAUAUCAGGAAGAACACCAAUUGCGAAGGCAGCUCGCUGGGACGUUACUGACGCUGAGACGCGAAAGCGUGGGGAGCAAACAGG